UUGAAGAGUCUGCAGCGCGGUGUGCAGCUCACCCUACACCCUUGCCUAUGUGCACCUUUUGUUGUUCCCUUGGCGGGUCCGCCCGUCAACGGGAAGCCCUAUAACCUUCUUAAUAAGUAUGGAACCUUCUGAACGCAACCUAAAUAUUUAUUUA
rnacentral:misc_RNA from 1 species